AUAUAUAUAUAAUGUAUUUUAAUUAUAUAUAGACUUUAAUUUAAUUUGGGCCAUUAUUGUUGGCCCAUAAAAUAAACCCAACAAGUACAACCGUGCAAUUGAGCCAAACUCUAAAUUUACAUAACACACUCUCUCUUUCAGACUUUCACUUUUGCACAUAAUCCUAAAACAUAAUAACAUUCAAAUUUUCAAAUUUCUAAUUUUUUUCUCCUCUCUCUUUCUCUCUCUCUCUUUGACCCUCACCCGGUCAGGCAGUCACCCUAGCUAUUUUGUAUUUUGAACUAUUGGACAUGUUGCAUCAAAUUAUAGGUAAUGUUCUAUAAAAAUUAAACUAUUGAUUAUAUAAUGUCGAGAAUUUCAAUCGGCUCGUUUAGAGCUCGA
rnacentral:lncRNA from 1 species